ACUUACCCAUUUCAUUUAACUAAGCCCAAUUCUUAUAUUUGAACUAUUUUGGGUCAAAUAUUUUAUAACUGAAACCCACUUAUUUAUUAAGCCUAAACCUAAUCCCUAUUCUCUACUCUAUAAACACCUCCCAAAACCCCAAAAAUUUCCCAAACAAGAGAUCAAAAAUCAGAUUUUUUGGGGGUAAGUAAUCUUUUCUUUCUUUUCCCUUAAUUUUCUUUUCUUUACUUUUUUCUUCUUUUCUUUUCUUUUCUCCUUUUUUUUAUUUUUCUUCUUUCUUUCUUUGCUGCUCCUUGGUUUCAUGCGUGAGUUCAUAUAUGGGAGUAAGGGACCUCCCCUUUUGCUGAUGCUGCUGCCACGUCACCCAAGGCUGUCGUCCCCACAGCCGACGCCGGCCACCUCUGGCCGUCCAACCACCGUCGGCAACCCGCGGCUAGCCACCGCGGUGGAGACUUUAAAUUGAGUAAUUUCUAGCGUUGUGGCUAAUUGGAAAGACGAAUUGAGUGAGGUUGAAAUAAAGAGAAGUACAGGUAGAAGGAGCAUAUCAAGCAUGAUGGGAUUGAGCGAAGAGGGUUAUAUGUUACAUUGCUUUGUUUAUUUCUUAUCGUAAUAUAUUAUUUCAUUUAUUGUUGUCACUAACAUAUAAUCCUAUUUGUAAUAUUUUAGUUUGAUUUUUAAAAAAGGGCCUUGAAUGGUUCCAAGUUAUUUGUUUAAUGUAAGUUGGUUUUAAAGUUUGAGUUUGUUUUAUUAAACUUUAUUUUAUUUGAGCUUUUAAAAGUUAGUCUUC